AACGCGAAGAACCUUACCUACCUUUGAAUCCACGGAAUUUUACAGAGAUGUAGAAGUGCCUUCGGGAACCGUGAGACAGGUGCUGCAUGGCUGUCGUCAGCUCGUGUCGUGAGAUGUUGGGUUAAGUCCCGUAACGAGCGCAACCCUUGUCCUUAGUUACCAACGAGUCAUGUCGGGGACUUUAAGGAGACUGCUGGUGAUAAACCGGAGGAAGGUGGGGAUGACGUCAAGUCCUCAUGGCCCUUACAGGUAGGGCUACACACGUGCUACAAUGGCCGGUACAGAGGGUUGCGAACUCGCGAGAGGGAGCCAAUCUCAGAAAGCCGGUCGUAGUCCGGAUUGGAGUCUGCAACUCGACUCCAUGAAGCUGGAAUCGCUAGUAAUCGCGGAUCAGAACGCCGCGGUGAAUACGUUCCCGGGCCUUGUACACACCGGUAUCUC
rnacentral:rRNA from 1 species